rnacentral:lncRNA from 1 species
UCCUGGUGCCAGCGUCCGGGAAGUGAUGACCAGGUGGCUGAGGCGAGGAUGGAGAGGAGAAAGAGUCAGGUGAAUGGAUAAGCUAUGGCAUAUUCAUAUGAUGAUGACGACAGAUACUCUUCAACAACAAAAAGGACUGGAGUAUUGCCACAUGCAGUAACAUGGAUGAAUCUCAAAAACAGAAUGUCAAGUCAGAGAAGCCAGACGGAAAAGAGCACCUACCAUAUGAUUCUGCUUAUAUGAAGUUCCAGAACAGGCAAAAUCAAUUUAUGUGGGGAAAAAAAUCAGAAGACUGAUUGCCUUUGGAGAGAGUGGAGUGGGAUGAGGGUAAGGGCUGACUUAGAAGAGGCUUGAAGGAACUUUAGGAGGUGGUGGUACUGUUCUUUAUCUUGAUAUCUUCAUUUGGAUUUCUUAGGUGUGUGCACAUAUUAAAACUCAUUGAAUUGGGGUUAGCCUGGUGGUGUAGCGGUUAAGUUUGAGUGCUCUGCUUCAGCAGCCCGGGGUUCACUGGUUCAGAUCGCGGGUGCAGACCUAUGCACUGCUCAUCAGGCCAUGCUGUGGCAGGUGUCCCACAUGUAAAAUAGAGGAAGAUGGGCACAGAUGUUAGCUCAGGGCUAAUCUUCCUCACACACUCAAAAAACCUCAUUCAGUUGUACACUUAGAUUUCAUUGUAUGUAAGUUUUACAUGAAAAGAAAAAACUAUAAACAAAUAUUGAAUUCUGGUUAAGAGACAUGCUAUGAACUUACGAAUGAACUGUACUUGAUACCAAAUCUCUUAAUCUCAAAUUCAUGUGCCCAGCGUGCAGUAAGCCAAUCAUUGAGACAUCAGUGCUUAGAGUUGGAGAAAGGUUUAAUCAAAUUGGCCAAAAUGAGAAGCUGGGAGGAUAGGUUCUCUCAAAUCUGCCUUGUUUUGUUUUUUUCUCCCCAAAGCCCCAGGACAUAGUUGUAUAUUCUAGUUGUAAGUCCUUCUAGUUCUCCUGUGUGAGCUGCUGACACAGCAUGGCUACUGAAAGACCAAUGGUGUGGUUCCGCACCCAGGAACUGAACCCAGGACACCAAAGUGGAGCAUGCUAAAGUUUAACCACUGGGGCAUCAGGGCUGGCUCUAAAUCUGCCUUAAUGAGAGAAGAAAGCAGGCAUUUUAUAGAGCUAAGAGGCUUGGCAGGAGGAGUUUCAGAGAAACAAAGGGGUAAUCUUGUUUCUUUCCCUCCAGAUAAGCCCUUGGGCAAUCUGACUUCUGGGCAUCAAGGUGUAGCUGGAGGCUGGUUAUCUGGUGAUCCAAAAAGUGGAACAACUCAACUGUCUGCCAGUUGAUGAAUGGAAGAAAAAAAUGCAGUCUGGUCAUACAAUGGAAUAUUAUUCACCAUAGAAAGGAAUGAAGAACUGAUACAUGCUACAACAUGGAUGAACCUUGAAGACAUCAUGCUAAACGAAAGAAACCAGACACGAGAGGCCACGUAUUGAGAACGGAUUAUAGUGGCAGAAAAAAAGGACCCAUCCAGGCUCAGCUCACAUGACCAUGGAGAUAACACUCAACACAGCAGGCAGAGGGAAGAGCAAGAACAAAAGCGGAAAAGAGAAAGAUGCAUCCGGGGACUGCAAGUCACUUGCAU